rnacentral:SRP_RNA from 1 species
GCCGGGUGUGGUGGCCCAUGCCUGUAGUCCUAGCUACUCAGGAGGCCAAGGCAGGAGGAUUGCUUGAACCCAGGAAUUCAAGGCAACACUGAGCUAUGAACAUGCCACUGCACUCCAGCCUGGGUGACAAAGCAAGACCCUGUCUCUU